rnacentral:lncRNA from 1 species
UGCAGUACAAUUUUCCAAUGAAGGAAAUUCAAUAGAACCCUCUUUCUCGGCUAUAUCUUCGCCACAAUUUUUGAAUGUACUGAAAUAUAUGGAGGAUUCCAAUUGUUGACUAAACUAGAUUUGGUAUUGAGGUGUAGUUGAUUGAUUAAUAUGUAUUGUGAUAGUUUGCUAAUUGUUGAUUUAAUUAACCAUUUACGGGAUUGUAGUGAUUUUCUAUAUUUAGAUUUGAUAUAUGGCAAGUGGGUUUGGAGAAUCAACUACUAGGGAAACCUCAAGUCCUUCUUGCUCCAGUAACAGUGGUAAUUAUAGCGAUACUGGCAACUUCGAGUGCAAUAUUUGCUUUCAUUUGGCGCAUGACCCAAUUGUUACUCUCUGCCGCAAUAAUGGAGGUAGUAUAUUAAGGCUUUUCUACAUAUUUGGACUCCUUAAUGAUUGUUGUUCCUUUUAAGUUCUGUACUUAUCGUGUUUAAUGACAUAUUUUUUCAUCCGCGUGCGGCUGCCAUUUGUAAUCUAAUGUGAUAGGGAAUAACCCAUCUAUUUUAGUUGGGUACCAGCUAGCAACACAUGCCAAAUGGGAAACUUUGAAUUAUGGGGUGCCUCAUAUAAUUUGACGGAAUAUCCUGGAGCCAUGAUAAUUUCGUGACAUGAUUUUCAGUCAGAUUUUUUUGAGUCAUCGACUUAUGAGAUAUCUGACAAAGAAAUAUUGAUAUUUUGUAGUUUAAUCAAGAAGCAUGAUUUCUUAGUUACACAUCUUUUUUGCAGAAAUUUUCCUUCUACCACAAGGGAAGUGAACUGCCUCAUGGCCAUCGAAUGCUGACUAAUCAACCUCUUCUUCGUAGUAGAGUGAAUACAAGUAUCGUUCUCAUAUUUAAGGUAUAUUCUUUUAUCAUGCCUUAAAUAUUUUCCCCCUAUCUAUAUAAAAAAAGGAAUUAGGAAUUAGGUGUCAUCCAUAUAGAAGAAAUCAUGUUCUUCUUAAAAAAGAAGAAUAAUGACUAAAUUAAAACAAGAAGCUUGAAAUUGUAAGUUGAAUAUACAUGUGUUUAGUUAUUCCUUUUAAUGUUUAGAAAUCACAUUUAUAGUCAAUAACAGACAGUCUAAAAGCUAUUGUGAUUUUAUUAGGAUUGGCCAUUGUGAUGUAAAAUAAAUAUUUUGCAUAAGUAUUGUUGCGGAAGGAAGGAUUUUGCUAACGUUUAGAUAUCAUACCUAUAAGAUUAAAAUUUAUUUUUAGCUACAAAAAAUAUAGGUUAUUAUGUUUCACUAUGAAGUAUUGAUGCGAGCCUAUAUAUUCAUGUUUAAAGACCCUGAUUGUUGACUUUUAACUUCAUAACUUCAUAACUUAUAUAUAUAUUUAUAAAAAUCGCAGCUUCUAAAUAUUUGUUUGAAGAGAGUAAAUCUACUUUAUACUCAUCAUGAUGCUUGCAACCUUUAGGAAAAAUAUUCUAUUUAACCAAUGCAAUUUGGGGUUCAUGAUCAUAAGUCUAGCUUUCAGCUUUAUACAAUUAAGUGUUAAAAUAAAUGAUGAAUUUUUUUGUUAGUACUGUAACUUUAAAACCUUUGUUAGAAGGAUAUGAAACUUAUGCUAGAAGAAAAGUGAUGAAAAUAUAUUUGGACUUAUCUGAGCUCUAAAAGUUUUGCUCCUAUUAAAAUCGAUGUGUUUAUAUAUGAAUCGCAUUCAUUUUGCUAAGCCAAAAGUUUAAGCUUCAAUAGUGUUCAAUUGUAAUAGUAAGUGUAGUACUUUGAAGCUUUGAAUAAUUUUGGAAAUAUGACGAAUGAGGCAAAAAUCUUUUUAUUUUUCUAACUUUUUGUUUAUACUUGCUUUUAGUGGCUUAAAAUUUUCAUAUUUUAGAAAAAGUGCUUUUAUCGAGGAUGAUAAAAAAUAGUCGGUAGGGGUAAAGUUUAUUUUUCUUUAAAAAAGCAGUUGGGAGUAUUUUUUUUAGUAGUUAUAGUUUUUUUUGUAGGUUACAUUAUUUUAUACAUAUUUUCUCUACUGACUAUUUUUCACUGUGUGGUAUUAGUAGUACUUGAUGCUAUUCUAUUGAGAGAUUGUCAUUGGGUGAGACUAGCAUGAUAAGUUCGAAUGCAAUAAGAGGAUGAUGGAGUUGAGCUACUGUUUUAUUGAUUCUCUCAAGACUUGGUCAAUAAUUUGUCCACAAGAAAAUCGAGAAAUUAUGCAAUUUAUUUUUGUUGAUUAUUACUUGAUUUCUUAAGAAAAUGGGAAUACCCUAUUUUGGAUCUCAAGCAUACUUUCAAGGAUAAUUUUUUCAAGCUAUUUUUGGGUCCUCAUAUGUUUCAUUGCACGGGUUCUAUUUGCUACAUGCAAGACUACUUUGAAGGAAGAAAAGUGAUCAAGAUUAAAGAUACUAUGUGGUUUGUGUUGGAGAUGCUUAAAAUAGAAUUUUGUUCGAGUUGGGGCGCCUUGAUGUUUGUUUGGGACUUUAAACUGAAAUUAAAUUUAAACCAGAAUUGAUAUCCUUUUUUGUUGUCAUGUAUCUAUCGUGCUUAACGACCUAUUUUACCCUUUUAAGGCCUUAGUAAGGGUGAGCUGCUUUUGGAUUGAGACCCUUUAUGCCGAACAUAGGAAUGCUUUUUUUUAAAAAAAAUAAUUAUUUAUAUUUAUUUUCUUUUAAAUUUGAGACAAGUUUUAUCCUUGACCUUUGCAUGAGUACAUAAGAUGAAAGUUCAUUUAUUUAUUUAUUUUAUUUUAUUUUUUUGAAUGCAGUCGGUAAAUUUAGUCUAUAAUAUACCUCGGUUUCUACUAUCUCUCACCGUACUGUUUUUAUUUGUAAUGAUCCGCGCAUCGCGCGGGUAAGUAUACUAGUUGGGAUAACAAGAGAAAAUCCAAGAGAAGGAUUCACUGCAGAGAGCAUAUCGGUUGUAGAUGAAAUGUUUUAUAAAUGACACUUUAUUCUUACAUGAAAUGUUUUAUAAAUGACACUAUAUAUUCACUCCAAUAAACGUCUUCUGAUAGUCAUUGUUAUUAUUGUCAUUUUAUUCUUACAUGAAAUGUUUUAUAAAUGACACUUUAUUUUUGUAU